AUUGAACGCUGGCGGCAUGCCUUACACAUGCAAGUCGAACGGCAGCAUGGAGAGCUUGCUCUCUGAUGGCGAGUCGCGAACGGGUGAGUAAUGCAUCGGAACGUACCGUGUAAUGGGGGAUAACGUAGCGAAAGUUACGCUAAUACCGCAUACGACCUGAGGGUGAGAGCAGGGGAUCGCAAGACCUUGCGUUAUACGAGCGGCCGAUGUCAGAUUAGCUAGUUGGUGAGGUAAAGGCUCACCAAGGCGACGAUCUGUAGCGGGUCUGAGAGGAUGAUCCGCCACACUGGGUCUGAGACACGGCCCAGACUCCUACGGGAGGCAGCAGUGGGGAAUUUUGGACAAUGGGGGCAACCCUGAUCCAGCCAUGCCGCGUGAGUGAAGAAGGCCUUCGGGUUGUAAAGCUCUUUCGGCCGGGAAGAAAUCGCACAGGCUAAUACUCUGUGUGGAUGACGGUACCGGCAUAAGAAGCACCGGCUAACUACGUGCCAGCAGCCGCGGUAA
rnacentral:rRNA from 1 species